ACCCAACAGAAUGGAUGGGUGGGGUGAUUACCCUCAUAGCAGUAGGGGGGAGCAGGAGGGGGUGGCAGAGGCGGAGGAGGGAGCCCAUCCAGAGACGUGGUGACGUGGCCUGGACACGGGGGCAGUGGCAGAAGGUGGCAGAAGUACCCAGAGUCUGGAUCACUACAGGCGCCCACCACCAUGCCCAGCUAAUUUUUGUAUUUUCAGUAGAGACAGGGUUUCACCUUGUUGGCCAGGCUGAUCUUCAACUCCUGACCUCAAGUGAUCCGCCCACCUCAGCCUCCCAAAGGGCUGGGAUUACAGGUGUGAGCCACCGCACCCAGCCUAGCCGUUUCUCUUAAUUGCAACAGCGCGUGUGUUUCUGAGACCAACUCCAGCCCCAUGCUCACAGCUCCUUUUCUCCCGACAGGGUAUCGGGAACACGUUUCAGGGAGGUGCCAACUGCAUCAUUUGGAUUCCUAGUACCCAUUCAGCCAAAAAAUUUAAAAGCUUGGUGGUGUGUUGAAUACAAUAUUUUAGGGAAUGGCUGCAAAGGAGUAAAUUGUCCA
rnacentral:lncRNA from 1 species